GGCGCCUCGCGCUGGGCGGGAGCGUUCCAGAAAGUUCUGGUCCGCCUCUGGGCGGGAGCGCGGCCGGGCUUUGCGCGGGUUAGGGAGCGUGGCGGUGCGAAGCAGCCGGGAGGCGUUACGGAUUGCAGGCCAAAUGCAUUGCUUUAUGUACAAGAACAAUAUCAGCUAGUGAUUAUCUGCAUCUUUCAAGUGGAGCACAUGCUGAAAUUGCGUAGCGGAUUGCACCAUUGCACCAGAGUAGAGGAAAUUCCUUGGUUCCCUUUUCUUCAGGCUGCUCUCUGCACUUUGAGGUGCCUGGUAUUUCAGAAGUACUGGGUACCUUCCCAGACUGCCAGUUGUGGAAUUAUUUCAUGGUAUCAGAGAAGUGUGCUAUGCAGCUGCCAGCUAGGCUGCUCCAUUUGGACCUUUAUCGCCCGUGGUCAGAGUGGUCAUCUUCAUUUCAGGAAAAGCUCUGUGGAAUUUUCCUAUUAGUUCCUGCUUUCAAAAUGCUUUUUGCAAUGUUUCUGGAAAAAAAAAACCCAAAAGCAACACAUCAGUCGUACCUUUUGCAUUCUCUGAGUUUUCCAUGGCCAUCACCUUUAUUUCUAUCCAAGCAGUGGGGAAAGCUAUUUGACAACUUGCAUCCUGUGAUGUAGCUUUUCCUUUUAAAUAUCUUGAGUUGAGUGUGUGUGUGUGUGUGUGUAAAAACACUGGCUCCUUCAGUAGCUCUUCUGCAGGUUAAUACUCUGUUGUAGAGAUUACAGAAAGUCAAGACAAUUCGUGGUUCUGAGUGGAAAAUUGGUAUGAACUUCCAUUGGCCUUGAGUGUCCAGGCUUGUAAAAGAGCAACGUCUUUGUUACUGCUCUAGGACAGUUAGAUAUGCAUUCCUCUAACCGUUAAUUCCUCUAACCUCUAAGCCCAUAAAAAUAAUAAAAGAAACCCCACAAUCUCAUCAAUAUUCUUAUAGCAAA